ACCUUCUGUGGUGUAGUUGGUAGCGCCUUUGCUUAAUAAUUAUAAGUCUAGGGUUCAAAUCCCGUUUGGGGUA